AGUGAACGCUGGCGGUAGGCCUAACACAUGCAAGUCGAACGGCAGCACAGUAAGAGCUUGCUCUUACGGGUGGCGAGUGGCGGACGGGUGAGGAAUACAUCGGAAUCUACUUUUUCGUGGGGGAUAACGUAGGUAAACUUACGCUAAUACCGCAUACGACCUACGGGUGAAAGCAGUGGAUCUUCUGACCUUGCGCGAUUGAAUGAGCCGAUGUUGGAUUAGCUAGUUGGCGGGGGAAAGGCCCACCAAGGCGACGAUCCGUAGCUGGUCUGAGAGGAUGAUCAGCCACACUGGAACUGAGCCACGGUCCAGACUCCUACGGGAGGCAGCAGUGGGGAAUAUUGGACAAUGGGCGCAAGCCUGAUCCAGCCAUACCGCGUGGGUGAAGAAGGCCUUCGGGUUGUAAAGCCCUUUUGUUGGGAAAGAAAAGCAGCAGGUUAAUACCACGCUGUUCUGACGGUACCCAAAGAAUAAGCACCGGCUAACUUCGUG
rnacentral:rRNA from 1 species